rnacentral:rRNA from 1 species
AUUGAACGCUGGCGGCAGGCUUAACACAUGCAAGUCGAGCGGAGAUGAGGUGCUUGCACCUUAUCUUAGCGGCGGACGGGUGAGUAAUGCUUAGGAAUCUGCCUAUUAGUGGGGGACAACAUUCCGAAAGGAAUGCUAAUACCGCAUACGCCCUACGGGGGAAAGCAGGGGAUCUUCGGACCUUGCGCUAAUAGAUGAGCCUAAGUCGGAUUAGCUAGUUGGUGGGGUAAAGGCCUACCAAGGCGACGAUCUGUAGCGGGUCUGAGAGGAUGAGCCGCCACACUGGGACUGAGACACGGCCCAGACUCCUACGGGAGGCAGCAGUGGGGAAUAUUGGACAAUGGGCGGAAGCCUGAUCCAGCCAUGCCGCGUGUGUGAAGAAGGCCUUUUGGUUGUAAAGCACUUUAAGCGAGGAGGAGGCUACUAGUACUAAUACUACUGGAUAGUGGACGUUACUCGCAGAAUAAGCACCGGCUAACUCUGUGCCAGCCGCCGCGGUAAGAC